rnacentral:lncRNA from 1 species
GUUGUAAUGAAAGGAGGAAAUGAUGAGAUGAGGAGAUGAAAUGAUGAGAUGAAUUGAGAUGAAAUGAGAUGAAAAAUGAUAUCAAAAAUAUGAGAUGAAAUGAAAUGAGAUUAUAUGAAAUGACAUAAUGAAUUAAAUGAAAUUAGAUGAAAUGAAAUGAAAUAGUGAAAUGAAAUGAUGAAAUGAAAUAAUGAAAUUAGGUGAAAUAAUGAAAUGAGAUGAAAUAAUGAAAUUGAAAUGAGAUGAGAAGAAAUGAGAUGAAAUGUUGUAAUGAAAGGAG